UGAUUUCCUGAAUAACAGGAAGCUGUCAAAUCUGCUACAUGACAUGAUUUAUGUGCUCCUGAAUUAAUGGAUUUAUUCAACAUUAAAACAUGUACAGGACCAGACAGCAGUGACUUGUGUGGUAGAUUUAGGUCUGUUUACUGCUCUGUCCCAUUCAGAAGCUCCACUCUCCAUCCUCAGUCUGCUCAGUAGUCUACUGGCAGUCUCUCCAUAUCUGCUAGUGUCCAUCGUGCUGGGGGUCAAAUGCUACAGAGCUCACACUCUGACUGAAACCAGAAGCCAGAAUGCAGUCUCAGAGGAGUGAGAGUCUAAAGGAAAAUACUGAAGAUGGAAGGACAUUGUUCUGUUCGCUUGAAGUCAUUUCACAUGUGAGAUUGAAUGUUUGAACUCUGCUAACUUACUGCCAGCUGAUAACCAGUUUAUAUGAAGCAUCGUGCAGCAAUGUUUACACUUUUAAGCACAUGUUACUAUUGUGUGUCAUUUAUUCCAAUGUUAGAAUAUUCUCAUUUAUUUUAAUGAUCUUUUACUUUGUUGGACUAGUUUACUUUUUUAUGUUCUAGUUAAAUAAAUAACAACCAAAUAAA